AAUCAUGAAUUGUGCAUGCUAGUGGGGUUUGGCCUCCACUAGUAUCUUUGAAGAUUUUCCUUCCUCAGCGAUCAAAAAAAAAAAAAAAUAGCCAAAUGCCUCGUCAUCUAAUUAGUGACGCGCAUGAAUGGAUUAACGAGAUUCCUACUGUCCCUAUCUACUCAGU
rnacentral:ncRNA from 1 species